GCGGUUCGGGGAGGAAAUGGGGUUGCCCUGGGGGUCGUGGGGAAGAGGAGGAGGAGGAAAGCGGCGGGGCAGGUGAAGGCCGGCUCUCCCGUCCCCAUUCCCGUCCGUUCCUCUGCCGAAAUGCCUAAAUCUCUAAUUGUUUGUGUUGUUUCCCCCCCGCGGAAACGUGUCCGGUAGCGCCAAAAAGAAGAAAAAAAAAGAGGAGAAAGAAGAAAAUCCACCCGCCGAGAUGCGAGGAGAUCGGAGGGGAAGUGGUGGAGGUUUUGUGUGUGCCCUCGGGGUAACGCACAGAGAAGCAGCGUCGCUUAUGCGAGAUGUUGAUGGAAUUUAUGUAUUAAAAAAAAAAGAGAAAAGCCCCUUUUCAAGAAUAAAGUGUAUCAAGUUACAGCCCAGCAGACGGCAGAGGGAUAAGUGAAACAGACAAAAGACAAACAAGAUAAUAAUCUGUUUCCAAUCAGUUAAGCCCUGUAGAAUUUGUAAUACGCGGUUUGCAUAUUC